UGGCGGCAGUAGCGCGGUGGUCCCACCUGACCCCAUGCCGAACUCAGAAGUGAAACGCCGUAGCGCCGAUGGUAGUGUGGGGUCUCCCCAUGCGAGAGUAGGGAACUGCCAGGCA
rnacentral:rRNA from 330 species